GACGAACGCUGGCGGCGUGCUUAACACAUGCAAGUCGAACGGAAAGGCCCUGCUUUUGUGGGGUGCUCGAGUGGCGAACGGGUGAGUAACACGUGAGUAACCUGCCCUUGAUUUUGGGAUAACUUCAGGAAACUGGGGCUAAUACCGGAUAGGAGCUCCUGCUGCAUGGUGGGGGUUGGAAAGUUUCGGCGGUUGGGGAUGGACUCGCGGCUUAUCAGCUUGUUGGUGGGGUAGUGGCUUACCAAGGCUUUGACGGGUAGCCGGCCUGAGAAGGUGACCGGCCACAUUGGGACUGAGAUACGGCCCAGACUCCUACGGGAGGCAGCAGUGGGGAAUAUUGCACAAUGGGCGGAAGCCUGAUGCAGCAACGCCGCGUGCGGGAUGACGGCCUUCGGGUUGUAAACCGCUUUCGCCUGUGACGAAGCGUGAGUGACGGUAAUGGGUAAAGAAGCACCGGCUAACUACGUG
rnacentral:rRNA from 1 species